UAUACACAUAGACUAUUUUUGAUCCCCUAUCCACUAUGUGGGAGGGAUCGGGACCAUUUCCCUAAGCUCUAUCUCGAUCUUAUUGCCCGUCUGUUCAAACAAUAGCUGUUCAUCGGAAAAAUUACGCUGCACUUCUUCCAUCACAGCAUCCGAGAUGGACAGCGUUCGAGACCGAGAUGGUAGCUUCUUCCGACCAAUCACUUGAACUGAAAGAUUUCGAAAUUUAUUGUUUUCAUAGCCCAACAAUGAGUCCAGAACGUGCUGCUUUGUGAGACUAUUCAGCGUUUGUAAUUGCUCUUCCUUGCGAUUAAAGAAGUACUCAGUAGCUACGAUCUCACUCCAA